AGAGUUUGAUCCUGGCUCAGGAUGAACGCUGGCGGCGUGCCUAAUACAUGCAAGUCGAGCGAACGGACGAGAAGCUUGCUUCUCUGAUGUUAGCGGCGGACGGGUGAGUAACACGUGGAUAACCUACCUAUAAGACUGGGAUAACUUCGGGAAACCGGAGCUAAUACCGGAUAAUAUUUUGAACCGCAUGGUUCAAAAGUGAAAGACGGUCUUGCUGUCACUUAUAGAUGGAUCCGCGCUGCAUUAGCUAGUUGGUAAGGUAACGGCUUACCAAGGCAACGAUGCAUAGCCGACCUGAGAGGGUGAUCGGCCACACUGGAACUGAGACACGGUCCAGACUCCUACGGGAGGCAGCAGUAGGGAAUCUUCCGCAAUGGGCGAAAGCCUGACGGAGCAACGCCGCGUGAGUGAUGAAGGUCUUCGGAUCGUAAAACUCUGUUAUUAGGGAAGAACAUAUGUGUAAGUAACUGUGCACAUCUUGACGGUACCUAAUCAGAAAGCCACGGCUAACUACGUGCCAGCAGCCGCGGUAAUACGUAGGUGGCAAGCGUUAUCCGGAAUUAUUGGGCGUAAAGCGCGCGUAGGCGGUUUUUUAAGUCUGAUGUGAAAGCCCACGGCUCAACCGUGGAGGGUCAUUGGAAACUGGAAAACUUGAGUGCAGAAGAGGAAAGUGGAAUUCCAUGUGUAGCGGUGAAAUGCGCAGAGAUAUGGAGGAACACCAGUGGCGAAGGCGACUUUCUGGUCUGUAACUGACGCUGAUGUGCGAAAGCGUGGGGAUCAAACAGGAUUAGAUACCCUGGUAGUCCACGCCGUAAACGAUGAGUGCUAAGUGUUAGGGGGUUUCCGCCCCUUAGUGCUGCAGCUAACGCAUUAAGCACUCCGCCUGGGGAGUACGACCGCAAGGUUGAAACUCAAAGGAAUUGACGGGGACCCGCACAAGCGGUGGAGCAUGUGGUUUAAUUCGAAGCAACGCGAAGAACCUUACCAAAUCUUGACAUCCUUUGACAACUCUAGAGAUAGAGCCUUCCCCUUCGGGGGACAAAGUGACAGGUGGUGCAUGGUUGUCGUCAGCUCGUGUCGUGAGAUGUUGGGUUAAGUCCCGCAACGAGCGCAACCCUUAAGCUUAGUUGCCAUCAUUAAGUUGGGCACUCUAAGUUGACUGCCGGUGACAAACCGGAGGAAGGUGGGGAUGACGUCAAAUCAUCAUGCCCCUUAUGAUUUGGGCUACACACGUGCUACAAUGGACAAUACAAAGGGCAGCGAAACCGCGAGGUCAAGCAAAUCCCAUAAAGUUGUUCUCAGUUCGGAUUGUAGUCUGCAACUCGACUACAUGAAGCUGGAAUCGCUAGUAAUCGUAGAUCAGCAUGCUACGGUGAA
rnacentral:rRNA from 1 species